rnacentral:rRNA from 1 species
AUACGGAGGAUGCGAGCGUUAUCCGGAUUUAUUGGGUUUAAAGGGAGCGUAGAUGGGAGCUUAAGCCAGUUGUGAAAAGCGCGGGCCCAACCCGCGUCGUGCAAUUGGAACUGUGUUCCUUGAGUGGGUUCGGGGCAGGUGGAAUUCGUGGUGUAGCGGUGAAAUGCUUAGAUAUCACGAAGAACUCCGACAGCGUAGGCAUCCUGCCAGGCCCUUACUGACAUUGAAGCUCGAAGGUGCGGGUAUCAAACAGGAUUAGAUACCCUGGUAGUCCGCACGGUAAACGAUGGAUGCCCGCUGUCGGCGACAGACAGUCGGCGGCCAAGCGAAAGCGUUAAGCAUCCCACCUGGGGAGUACGCCGGCAACGGUGAAACUCAAAUGAAUUGACGGGG